AAAAGGGCGGGGUCAAUGCCAACGACACAAGGCUCUGAUUGGAUGCUGGGGCGCCCCGCCUCCGCUCUUGGGUAGGUCCACAUUCCUUCCAGCACCCGCCCUACCCCCCUCAACCCCACCCCCCGCCCCCACUACUCCAGCAGCUGUGGUUGGUCAGCUCGCCAGCCUCUAGUCUUGUCCUAACUUGUCAUUGGCAACUUUCUAGCGGCCUGUGUUGAUCAGCUGCCAGAGUACCCUCUCUCCCCGCGGCGACUGAUCCCCACAGAGGCGCAGCUAAGCAAAGGCAGCUUUGGGGUGUCCACACACGCUGGCAGGCCCACUUCCCCUGGUGCCCUCGGGAAAAGGGGCGAAUGAGGGACUCACCUGGGGCUCCCUCCGCCUGCAGCCCCUCCAUCCGCUCUUGCAGCUGCUUGAUGUGCGCCUCCAGGUCUCGGUUCCUGGCCUCGGCCUCACGGAGUUGACUGAGGGGAAGUAAGAACCAUGAGCCCUUUGGGAUCUCGGAGAGAAGCUGCU